CAGUCGUGCGAUAAGAGGCUUCGGCCUCCGAAAGCGGCGCACGGGUGAGUAACGCGUAGGUAAUCUGCCCUCGGGCGGGGGAUAACUUUUCGAAAGGAAAGCUAAUACCGCAUAAUAUGGCUGCCGUGCUUCGGCAGUCAUCAAAGCUGGCCUCUGCUUGCAUGCUAGCACCUGAGAAUGAGCCUGCGUCCCAUCAGCUAGUUGGUAAGGUAAUGGCUUACCAAGGCAAAGACGGGUAGCUGGUCUGAGAGGAUGAACAGCCACACUGGCACUGAAACACGGGCCAGACUCCUACGGGAGGCAGCAGUGAGGAAUAUUGGUCAAUGGGCGAAAGCCUGAACCAGCGACGCCGCGUGAGUGAUGAAGGCCUUCGGGUUGUAAAGCUCUGUGGGGAGGGGCGAAAACGGCCGAGUCGAAUAAGCUCGGUCCUUGACGGUACCUCCUUAGCAAGCACCGGCUAACUCUGUGCCAGCAGCCGCGGUAAUACAGAGGGUGCAAACGUUGCUCGGAAUUACUGGGCGUAAAGCGCGUGUAGGCGGACAAGUAAGUCCGAUGUGAAAUCCCUGGGCUCAACCCAGGAACUGCAUCGGAAACUGCUCGUCUUGAGUGGUGGAGAGGGAAGUGGAAUUCCUGGUGUAGAGGUGAAAUUCGUAGAUAUCAGGAGGAACAUCGGUGGCGAAGGCGGCUUCCUGGACACCUACUGACGCUGAGACGCGAAAGCGUGGGGAGCAAACAGGAUUAGAUACCCUGGUAGUCCACGCUGUAAACGAUGAGUGCUAGGUGCUGCGGGUUUUGACUCUCGCGGUGCCGUAGCUAACGCAUUAAGCACUCCGCCUGGGGAGUACGGCCGCAAGGCUAAACUCAAAGGAAUUGACGG
rnacentral:rRNA from 1 species